rnacentral:rRNA from 1 species
UACGUAGGGUGCGAGCGUUGUCCGGAUUUAUUGGGCGUAAAGCGCUUGUAGGCGGUCCACCAAGUUUGGGGUGACAGUUGCCGACUUAAUCGGCAAAGUGCCUCAAAGACUGGCGGACUUGAGGGCCACAGAGGGACAUGGAACUCCAGGUGUAGUGGUGAAAUGCGUAGAUAUCUGGAAGAACACCAAAGGCGAAGGCAGUGUCCUGGGUGGUCGCUGACGCUGAGAGGCGAAAGCCAGGGGAGCGAACGGG